rnacentral:misc_RNA from 1 species
GAUGAAGAACGCAGCGAAAUGCGAUAAGUAGUGUGAAUUGCAGAAGUACCGUGAAUCAUCGAAUCUUUGAACGCAAAUUGCACUCUCUGGUAUUCCGGGGAGUAUGCCUGUUUGAGGGUCGCCUAACAAACCAUCGAUUUCGUUGCUUUUUUUUUUUUUAAAAGGGUAAUGUUUAUCGGAUUUGAGCCGUCUUUUUUUUUUAUAUUUAAGUGGCUUAAAAUUGAUUUUUUUGGUAUGAUCGAAGCGUAUUUUAUGAUCAAUUUUUGGUUAAAGAAACGCAUACGCGUACCGUUAUUUGUAUGAUGUAAUACGUUUGACUAUUGGAUUUAGUUCAUUCGUAUACGAUAUUUUUCAAUAUUUGACCUCAAAUCAGGUAAGAACACCCGCUGAACUUAAGCAUAUCAAUAAGCGGAGGA